rnacentral:lncRNA from 1 species
AUCUAAAAGAUAGAUUAGUAGAGAAUUAGAUUCCUAAUAAAUGGUAUCGCUAAUGUGGGGUCCAGGAGUUCAAAAUAGAGGAAGAUCCAUGGGGUAUGAAGUAGCCUUGAAAGAUAGAAUUGGAAUGUGGGCUGCAUCUUAAAUGGUGGGUAGCCUUUGAAUAUUUGGAAAGGAAGGGCUUAUGUAGAGGCAGAGAUGCAUGUGAAUAGUUUAGUUGUAGUAGAUAUUGGGAAAAUGUAAGACAGAAGGUUGGAACAGUAGACACUGAGUAGCCACUGGAGUUUUUGAGAAGGUGUGCUAAGCAGAAUUUUAAGACUGGUAUAUAAAAUGGAUUGGAGGGGGGAGGGCUGGUAGGCAGUUAUUGUAACUGUACUGAGGCUCAUGAGGUUUGGACUAUGGCAAUGCUUUUGGGCACAGGCAGGAGGAGAGAUAUGAGAGAUGCUUGAAUAAAGGCUUCAAUGGACUUUGUUUUGGACUAAACACGCAUUGGAUAGUCAAAUGUGUUGCUAAGGACAACUUCAAUGUUCUGAACUUGUUUGACUGAGUGAUGGUUCCGUAGACUGAAAGUUCCAAAUGGUAAAUUCCUUUCAGGGGUGGGGGCUGAGAGAGGAAAAUGGGUUGAAGUCAAAGUGAUGGAAGAUAUCCAAGUGGAAAUUUCCACUCAUGGGACAGAGAUCAGAUUUUCAUAGACAAUAUCCUGACCGAAUGCACGUGGAACUGUCAUGUUUACAACUACCCACAUCUGUUUUCCCACAUUCAUUUACUUCUCAAGCAGAAAGCAGUGUGAUGAUCCAGGAGCGUGUGGUUCUUACGUGCAAGUGUCUACUUGUAACUUUCCGAAGAGCUCACGGAGGACUUAAGAAAAGGAGAAUAGAAUGA